GGGAUUGUGGCUCAGUGGCAGAGCACUCGCCUAACACGCGCGGGACCUGGGUUCGAUCCUCAGCACCA
rnacentral:tRNA from 1 species